rfam:Macrostomum lignano uti_cns_0007047, whole genome shotgun sequence.
GGGGUCGUAGCCUAGUGGUUAGAGCGUCGAACUCAUGACUUGAAGGUCGGGGUUCGAUUUCCGAUCCUA